AAGCGGUGAGCAUGUGGUUUAAUUCGAAGCAACGCGAAGAACCUUUACCAGGUCUUGACAUCCUUUUGAAUGGUCUAGAGAUAGAUCAGGCCUUCGGGACAGAAGAGACAGGUGGUGCAUGGUUGUCGUCAGCUCGUGUCGUGAGAUGUUGGGUUAAGUCCCGCAACGAGCGCAACCCUUAUCCUUUGUUGCCAGCGGUCCGGCCGGGAACUCAAAGGAGACUGCCAGUGAUAAACUGGAGGAAGGUGGGAUGACGUCAAGUCAUCAUGGCCCUUACGACCAGGGCUACACACGUGCUACAAUGGCGCAUACAAAGAGAAGCGACCUCGCGAGAGCAAGCGGACCUCAUAAAGUGCGUCGUAGUCCGGAUUGGAGUCUGCAACUCGACUCCAUGAAGUCGGAAUCGCUAGUAAUCGUGGAUCAGAAUGCCACGGUGAAUACGUUCCCGGGCCUU
rnacentral:rRNA from 1 species